GGAGAGGUGGUCGAGUGGUUUAUGGCUCCAGUCUUGAAAACUGGCUUGGCGAAAGCCAACGUGGGUUCGAAUCCCACCCUCUCCG
rnacentral:tRNA from 1 species